GGGUUGUGAGGUUAAGCGACUAAGCGUACACGGUGGAUGCCCUGGCAGUCAGAGGCGAUGAAGGGCGUGCUAAUCUGCGAUAAGCGCCGGUAAGGUGAUAUGAACCGUUAUAACCGGCGAUACCCGAAUGGGGAAACCCAGUG
rnacentral:rRNA from 21 species